rnacentral:lncRNA from 1 species
AAUAAUAUGGGAUAAUCAGUAUGUAAUUUUGUAAGUACAAAUGAUUCAUAGAACUUCAUGUUUUAAUGAAAUAAUUAAUGUUAUCAUCAUACAUAAUUAAGUAAGCAACUAUAUAUACAUGUAUGUGUUACUGAAAAACUUAAGCCAUUAUAAGUUUGAAUUUGUAACUGAUGUACUGCACCAUCAUGAUCAUGUUUAUUAAGAUUAAGUUAAAUUCUGUAAUGCAAUUAUUACCUAGCUUUAU